rnacentral:rRNA from 1 species
UUCGCAAUGCCCGAAAGGGUGACGAAGCGACGCCGCGUGGGUGAGGAAGGCCCUCGGGUUGUAAAGCCCUGUCAGGAGUUAAGAAAUGUAAGUGCGCUAAUAUCGCAUUUAUUUGACGAAGGCUCCAAAGGAAGCCACGGCUAACUCUGUGCCAGCAGCCGCGGUAAUACAGAGGUGGCAAGCGUUGUUCGGAAUUAUUGGGCGCAAAGAGCACGUAGGUGGGUUUGUAAGUCAGAUGUGAAAGCCUUCUGUUCAACGGAAGAAUUGCAUCUGAAACUACAAGUCUUGAGUGUAGGAGGGGAGAAUGGAACUUCUGGUGGAGCGGUGAAAUGCGUAGAUAUCAGAAGGAACGCCGGCGGCGAAAGCGAUUCUCUGGCCUAUUACUGACACUCAGUGUGCGAAAGCUAGGGGAGCAAACGGGAUUAGAUACCCCGGUAGUCCUAGCCGUAAACGAUGGGCACUAAGUAGAGGGGUUUU